GUGGCGUUAGCUCAGUUGGUAGAGCCCCGGAUUGUGAUUCCGGUGGUCACCGGUUCGAAUCCGGUACGUCACC
rnacentral:tRNA from 1 species